AUUGACCGCUGGCGGCAGGCCUAACACAUGCAAGUCGAACGAGUGGCGGACGGGUGAGUAAUGUCUGGGAAACUGCCUGAUGGAGGGGGAUAACUACUGGAAACGGUAGCUAAUACCGCAUAUCAUCGGAUGUGCCCAGAUGGGAUUAGCUAGAAGGUGGGGUAAAGGCUCACCUAUGCGACGAUCCCUAGCUGGUCUGAGAGGAUGAUCAGCCACACUGGAACUAAGACCCUGUCCAUACUCCUCCGGGUGGCAGCAGUGGGGACUAUUGCCCUAUGGGCUCAAGCCUGAUGCAGCCAUGCCGCGUGUAUGAUUCAGGCCUUCCUGUUGUAAAGUACUUUCAGCGGGAAGGCGUUACCCGCAGAAUAAGCACCGGAUAACUCCGUGCCAGCAGCCGCGGUAAUAC
rnacentral:rRNA from 1 species